UACGUAGGAGGCGAGCGUUGUCCGGAAUCACUGGGCGUAAAGCGCGUGUAGGCGGCCCUGCAAGUCGGGUGUGAAAUCCCACGGCUCAACCGUGGAAGUGCACUCGAAACUGCAGGGCUAGAGUCCUGGAGAGGAAGGUGGAAUGCUUGGUGUAGAGGUGAAAUUCGUAGAUAUCAAGCGGAACACCGGUGGCGAAGGCGGCCUUCUGGACAGUGACUGACGCUGAGACGCGAAAGCGUGGGGAGCAAACGGG
rnacentral:rRNA from 1 species